GCUAUGCGCUCUUUCUAACCUCAUCUCUCUCUCGGCAUGUACGGCGGCGGAGGUUCGGGCGGCCUUGGGCCUGUGGCCGCUUGGCCUCCGACGGCUGGGGCGCAGGGCAAGAGCGCGUGGCCGCCCUGAGUCUAGUGAGGCUGGCGCCGUGGCCUGGCCGGGUCCGAGGCUCCCGGUUCCUGAACGCGUGGAGGGCAGCGAACUGGUCUGGCCUCCGCCACGUUGUCGGUGAGACCUCAGAAAGCCCAGAAGCGGCCCCGGGUCUGUGUUCCCACGCCGGGAGAUGCGGCGAGCGGGGUGAAAGAUGUACGCUUGAAGCAUAGACUGCUGCUAGCUGACUAUCUGGGAGCAAAAAGAUGACCUAAGGAUGUCCUCGGUGAGGAACUUGACAACUUGAUCUUCGAGAGUUGCUUAGAGUAUUUAAAUUUUCCAGGAUUGCUAAAAAAAAUACUGCUUUUGGAUAGUCCAUAAAUGUACAUCUAAAACAGUGGGGCUAUAAAUAAAAUAAUUUAAUGUGC